UACAGAGGGUGCGAGCGUUAAUCGGAAUUACUGGGCGUAAAGCGCGCGUAGGCGGCUUUGCAAGUCUGGUGUGAAAUCCCCAGGCUUAACCUGGGAACUGCAUUCGAGACUGCAUUGCUAGAGUAUGGGAGAGGGAAGUGGAAUUUCCGGUGUAGCGGUGAAAUGCGUAGAUAUCGGAAGGAACAUCAGUGGCGAAAGCGACUUCCUGGACCAAUACUGACGCUCAUGUGCGAAAGCGUGGGGAGCAAACAGG
rnacentral:rRNA from 1 species